rnacentral:tRNA from 1 species
AGAAACUUAGGAUCAAAUCUACUAAACCGGGGGCCUUCAAAGCCCCAAACAAGAGUCAGAAAUCUCUUAGUUUCUG